UACGUAGGGCGCAAGCGUUGUCCGGAAUUAUUGGGCGUAAAGAGCUCGUAGGCGGUCUGUCACGUCGGAAGUGAAAACCCGGGGCUUAACCCCGGGCUUGCUUUCGAUACGGGCAGACUAGAGUGUGGUAGGGGAGACUGGAAUUCCUGGUGUAGCGGUGGAAUGCGCAGAUAUCAGGAGGAACACCAAUAGCGAAGGCAGCUCGCUGGGACGUUACUGACACUGAGGCGCGAAAGCGUGGGGAGCGAACAGG
rnacentral:rRNA from 1 species